GGGGAAUUUUCCGCAAUGGGCGAAAGCCUGACGGAGCAACGCCGCGUGAGGGAUGAAGGCCUCUGGGCUGUAAACCUCUUUUAUCAAGGAAGAAGAUCUGACGGUACUUGAUGAAUAAGCCACGGCUAAUUCCGUGCCAGCAGCCGCGGUAAUACGGGAGUGGCAAGCGUUAUCCGGAAUUAUUGGGCGUAAAGCGUCCGCAGGCGGUCUUGCAAGUCUGUCGUUAAAGCGUGGAGCUUAACUCCAUUUCGGCGAUGGAAACUGCAAGACUAGAGUGUGGUAGGGGCAGAGGGAAUUCCCGGUGUAGCGGUGAAAUGCGUAGAUAUCGGGAAGAAC
rnacentral:rRNA from 1 species